CCACAGUUGAUCACCUACAAAAACACAACCCAUGCAACCACGUCUAACGUUCAAAGAGCACAUCUAUGAAAAGGUCAUAACGCUCGACUGUUUUAUUUUCUAGAUAUCCACCUAAAACGUAUAUGCAUCCAUUGUGUACGGCUACCUAAAAUGUGAAGUUUUAUGCAUACAUUAGGACAAAUCGACAUCUGAUUAUGCUUUUAUCGUAAGCGACAAAAGGUAAAUUUUACAGGAGAGGUUUUUUUAAUUAUCCUUAUUGAAUGAUAACUUUCUAAUGGGACUAUUUAUGUUUUGCAUACCUUAUUGGCGCUUGCGAUAGUUUUUAUGUUGUAUAAUUUGGAUAUUUAUAAACGAAGGAGUGCCGGUACUUUCAGGAUUUUUUGAAAAAACUGAAUUUUAAGUCAAUUAAAUAUAAACAUUGUCAAUCAGCAGAA